rnacentral:ncRNA from 1 species
AUCAAACCGUUGAAAAAGAGUAGUAGAUAAUGUGUGAACGUUAAAGAGAGCUGUCGUUGGUGAGAAUACAGCACGGGAACUUUUAUUGAAUGGACUUUUGAGGGUAUCUUUGAAGUUAGUAGGAGAUGCCGGGAUUCUAACCCGUUAUCAAGUGGACAUAUAUGAUAGUAUAUGAUAAAGUGGAUAUUCAAUGAUCAAUUUGAGUGGUACCGCGGAAGAAAUUUUCGUCUCAAGC